AAUUUUAUAUUCAAAAAUAUGAUAUUAAAUUGCAAAUUUAAAGGUAUAAAUAAGUUAUUAAGAUUU
rnacentral:tRNA from 1 species